GGGUAAAUGGCCGAGUUGGUCGAAGGCGUCAGUCUUGAAAACUGAACUAUUUGUUAAGAAUAGCAUGAGUUCGAAUCUCAUUUUGCCCU
rnacentral:tRNA from 1 species